GAGGAAGCAACAGCGUCUGACGAACACCAGACCCGCUACAUACGAAUGUAUAUGGUUGUGGGUGGUCUGAUGCAGCACCUGGAUGUCUAUUGUGCAAGACGCAGUUCCACAAGAACAGCCUCAGGUGUCCAUUGGAAACAACAGUUCAAAGAAGAAAAUCCUGUUUACCUGAUUCUUCAAUGUUGCAGUGCAUCAAGAUCCCUCUGACGCUCUUCCAAAUGAUAGUCAGUAGAACUCUUCACAUACUCCUAUUAUUUUGGGUGUGGGCAUCGGUGACUAGGAGAAAGUGAGGACUGCAGAUGCUGGAGAUCAGACAUGAAAAUGUGUUGCUGGAAAAGUGCAG